AGCCUCUUCAUCAAGGCUGUGGACACAUACGAUGAUGGAGGAAUUCUGGAAGUCCUCAGAGAAAGGAAAGAAAAAAAGACAGAAACUGAUUUAUAAUUUGCAAACACCUAGGAGUCAAGGGGGGUGAAGAACGCUCACACUGCACAGUAAGCCCUUCACAACCUGGUUCCUGCUACUUCCCUCCGCAUGUGCCACAGUCCUCUUGAGCAGGAUGCUGUGCUGUUCCUGCCACUCAAGCUGUUUUCUUGUGCCUUUAGUUUUAGGGACUCUGUUUCUUCUAUGUUGAAUCCCUCCACCUCCCUGCCUUCUCCUUCCCAAAC